rnacentral:rRNA from 1 species
ACGGCUCAGUAACACGUGGAUAACCUGCCCUUGGGUCCGGCAUAACCCCGGGAAACUGGGGAUAAUUCCGGAUAACGCACAUAUGCUGGAAUGCUUUAUGCGUAAAAUGGAUUCGUCUGCCCAAGGAUGGGUCUGCGGCCUAUCAGGUAGUAGUGGGUGUAAUGUACCUACUAGCCAACAACGGGUACGGGUUGUGAGAGCAAGAGCCCGGAGAUGGAUUCUGAGACAUGAAUCCAGGCCCUACGGGGCGCAGCAGGCGCGAAAACUUUACAAUGCGGGAAACCGUGAUAAGGGGACACCGAGUGCCAGCAUCAUAUGCUGGCUGUCCAGGUGUGUAAAAUACACCUGUUAGCAAGGGCCGGGCAAGACCGGUGCCAGCCGCCGCGGUAACACCGGCGGCCCGAGUGGUGAUCGUGAUUAUUGGGUCUAAAGGGUCCGUAGCCGGUUUGGUCAGUCCUCCGGGAAAUCUGACGGCUUAACCGUUAGGCUUUCGGGGGAUACUGCCAGGCUUGGAACCGGGAGAGGUAAGAGGUACUACAGGGGUAGGAGUGAAAUCUUGUAAUCCCUGUGGGACCACCUGUGGCGAAGGCGUCUUACCAGAACGGGUUCGACGGUGAGGGACGAAAGCUGGGGGCACGAACCGGAUUAGAUACCCGGGUAGUCCCAGCCGUAAACGAUGCUCGCUAGGUGUCAGGCAUGGCGCGACCGUGUCUGGUGCCGCAGGGAAGCCGUGAAGCGAGCCACCUGGGAAGUACGGCCGCAAGGCUGAAACUUAAAGGAAUUGGCGGGGGAGCAC